rnacentral:tRNA from 1 species
GGGCUGGUGGCGGAAUGGCAGACGCGGAGGACUUAAAAUCCUUUGGUGGCUAAUCCAUCGUGUGGGUUCGACUCCCUCCCAGCCCA